UACAGAGGCCCCAAGCGUUACUGAGAAUCACUGGGUUUAAAGGGUGCGUAAGUGGUCCGUUAAGUCUGUUGUGAAAGCCCUUGGCUCAACCAAGGAAUUGCUUCGGAUACUGGCGGACUUGAGGCUAGUAGAGGUCACUGGAACUGACGGUGGAGCGGUGAAAUGCGUAGAUAUCGUCAGGAACGCCGGUGGUGAAGACGGGUGACUGGGCUAGUUCUGACACUGAGGCACGAAAGCGUGGGGAGCGAACGGG
rnacentral:rRNA from 1 species